ensembl:miRNA
CUGGUCUCCUGUGCCUGCUGUGCUGAUAAUCAGUGGAUGGCUGUAGCUGGCUCAGUUCAGCAGGAACAGGGGUCU